rfam:Trichobilharzia regenti genome assembly, scaffold: TRE_scaffold0022702
AUCCAGAUGAUGAGUCUCAGACAGGACGAAAUACCCAUCCUGGAU